rnacentral:rRNA from 1 species
GUCUAUGGCCAUAAUACCCUGAAUGUGUCUGAUCUCAGAAGCUGAGCAGGGUCGGGCCUGGUUAGUACUGGGAUGGGAGACUGCCUGGGAAUACUGGGUGCUGUAGGCU